rnacentral:rRNA from 1 species
GGCGAACGGGUGAGUAAUGCAUCGGAACGUGCCCAACUGUGGGGGAUAGCUCGGCGAAAGCCGGAUUAAUACCGCAUACGAUCCACGGAUGAAAGCGGGGGACCUUCGGGCCUCGCGCAGUUGGAGCGGCCGAUGUUAGAUUAGGUAGUUGGUGGGGUAAAGGCUCACCAAGCCGACGAUCUAUAGCUGGUCUGAGAGGACGACCAGCCACACUGGGACUGAGACACGGCCCAGACUCCUACGGGAGGCAGCAGUGGGGAAUUUUGGACAAUGGGCGCAAGCCUGAUCCAGCAAUACCGCGUGCAGGAAGAAGGCCUUCGGGUUGUAAACUGCUUUUGUACGGAACGAAAAGGUCUGGGUUAAUACCCUGGGCUCAUGACGGUACCGUAAGAAUAAGCACCGGCUAACUACGUGCCAGCAGCCGCGGUAAUACGUAGGGUGCAAGCGUUAAUCGGAAUUACUGGGCGUAAAGCGUGC